UAGGGAAUCUUCCGCAAUGGACGCAAGUCUGACGGAGCAACGCCGCGUGAGUGAAGGAGGAUUUCGGUUCGUAAAACUCUGUUGUUAGAGAAGAACAGCGCAUAGAGUAACUGUUAUGCGUGUGACGGUAUCUAACCAGAAAGCCACGGCUAACUACGUGCCAGCAGCCGCGGUAAUACGUAGGUGGCAAGCGUUGUCCGGAUUUAUUGGGCGUAAAGCGAGCGCAGGCGGUUAGAUAAGUCUGAAGUUAAAGGCAGUGGCUCAACCAUUGUAGGCUUUGGAAACUGUUUAACUUGAGUGCAGAAGGGGAGAGUGGAAUUCCAUGUGUAGCGGUGAAAUGCGUAGAUAUAUGGAGGAACACCGGUGGCGAAAGCGGCUCUCUGGUCUGUAACUGACGCUGAGGCUCGAAAGCGUGGGGAGCGAACAGG
rnacentral:rRNA from 1 species